rfam:Dipodomys ordii contig_1374, whole genome shotgun sequence.
GGGAAGGUGGCUCAGUGGUAGAGCACUUGCCUUGCAUGCAUGAGGCCCUGGAUUCCAUUCCU